GACGAACGCUGGCGGCGUGCUUAACACAUGCAAGUCGAACGGGAUUUCGUAAACAGAAGCCUCGGUGGAAGAUUACUAAUGAGAGUGGCGAACGGGUGAGUAACGCGUGAGCAACCUGCCUAUGACAGUGGGAUAGCCUCGGGAAACCGGGAUUAAUACCGCAUAAAAUCGUAGAAACACAUGUUUUAACGGUCAAAGAUUUAUCGGUCAUAGAUGGGCUCGCGUCUGAUUAGCUAGUUGGUGAGAUAACAGCCCACCAAGGCGACGAUCAGUAGCCGGUCUGAGAGGAUGAACGGCCACAUUGGAACUGAGACACGGUCCAAACUCCUACGGGAGGCAGCAGUGGGGAAUAUUGCACAAUGGGGGAAACCCUGAUGCAGCGACGCCGCGUGAACGAAGAAGGUAUUCGUAUCGUAAAGUUCUGUCCUAUGGGAAGAUAAUGACAGUACCAGAGAAGAAAGCUCCGGCUAAAUACGUG
rnacentral:rRNA from 1 species